GAAACCAACAGGGAUUGCCCUAGUAACGGCGAGUGAAGCGGCAACAGCUCAAAUUUGAAAUCUGGCCCUUGUGGUCCGAGUUGUAAUUUGUAGAGGAUGCUUUUGGUGAGGUACCUUCCGAGUUCCCUGGAACGGGACGCCAUAGAGGGUGAGAGCCCCGUCUGGUUGGAUACCAAUCCUCUGUAAAGCUCCUUCGACGAGUCGAGUAGUUUGGGAAUGCUGCUCAAAAUGGGAGGUAUAUGUCUUCUAAAGCUAAAUAUAGGCCAGAGACCGAUAGCGCACAAGUAGAGUGAUCGAAAGAUGAAAAGCACUUUGAAAAGAGGGUUAAAUAGUACGUGAAAUUGUUGAAAGGGAAGCGUUUGUGACCAGACUUGGGCUUGGUUAAUCAUCCGGCGUUCUCGCCGGUGCACUUUGCCAGCCCAGGCCAGCAUCAGUUCGCUGCGGGGGAAAAAGGCUUCGGGAACGUAGCUCCUCGGAGUGUUAUAGCCCGUUGUGUAAUACCCUGUGGUGGACUGAGGUUCGCGCAUCUGCAAGGAUGCUGGCGUAAUGGUCAUCAACGACCCGUCUUGAAACACGGACCAAGGAGUCGUCUUCGUAUGCGAGUGUUCGGGUGUCAAACCCCUACGCGUAAUGAAAGUGAACGGAGGUGGGAGCCUCGGCGCACCAUCGACCGAUCCUGAUGUUUUCGGAUGGAUUUGAGUAAGAGCAUACGGGGCCGGACCCGAAAGAAGGUGAACUAUGCCUGUAUAGGGUGAAGCCAGAGGAAACUCUGGUGGAGGCUCGCAGCGGUUCUGACGUGCAAAUCGAUCGUCAAAUAUGGGCAUGGGGGCGAAAGACUAAUCGAACCUUCUAGUAGCUGGUUUCCGCGAGAUU
rnacentral:rRNA from 1 species